GCUGGUGUCGCCGCUGCCGGGUUCAGUCGCCCGGCGCUGCUCGGCCUCUGCCCGGGCGGCUCCCCACGUUCUCCGCCUCAGGUCACAGUAUAAACGCAUGAAUGGAAGAAGAAAAUUUCUUCUUGCCUCAGUACUUGCUCUCCAGAAUUCAAGUUUUAUAUAUCCAUCAUGUCAGAAGUGCUUCUCUCGGAUAAUCCUGGUCUCUAAAAGGUUUAAUUGUCCAAAAUGUGGCUAUACUAGUGAAGCUGAAAAUGCCAGUUACAGAUAUAAACUUUCUGUAAAAGUUGCAGAAUCAAACAAAUUGUUUGUCAUCACUGUAUUUGGGAGCUGCUUAGAUACAUUUUUUGGUCUUACUGCCACUGCUUUGCACAGGUAUAUUCAGAACCUUAAAGUUCCAAAGAUACUGGAUAAUGAUACAACUCAGAACCUGUUAACUAAAGCAGUUGAAACAUGCUUUCUCGGACAAAGCUUUGUUUUUGGAGUGACGAAUUUUGAAAAACAAUGUGGACAUGGUUCUGCUUCCAGUAACUUCUUACACCAGUGUUAUGACCACAAAAGAGAAGUCCAAGCACUGGUAGCUUGCCAGAUUGUUCGACCAGACCCACAUGUUGCAGGCUUCACUGUUAUUGACUUCUUCCAUCGUCUUUUGCAGUCUUCCAAUUCAAAGGAACCGGAAGGCCACUUACUUGCUUUAAAUCACUCAUCUAGUGAUCUCAGCAGCAUACAUGGCUCUGAUAGCACUUCCUAUCUUUUGGAGUCCCAUAGCAGUAAUAAUUUUUCAACAUUCUGGCAACCAUCACUUGAACUCACUUCCAUUGUCUCACAACUAACGGAAAAUGGUGAAUUUUCAGCUUCAGAACAAAACAUGGCCAUUGGGACUCUUCACCAAAACAGCAAGUAUACCUCCUUUGCAGAGAUCACUGGUACCAGUAGCAGCCAUGAUCCCACGCAGGGCUCAUGGAGCUUUGUUUCAUAUAUGGAUAAAAACAGUACAGCAGAAAAGAAGGGUAAGGAUAGUCAUUCCCACCAGCACUUUGAUAUAGAUACCAUCACUGGCCUUCACAAGAAAUCUACAUGCUGUCUGCCUUCAUCCCGCAGACCUGAAGAGACAGCUGGCUGUUACCAGGAUUGUGAUUCUAUGAUUUGGGAUGAUCUGCCAUUGUCUGAAAGCCUGAACAAGUUUUUGGCUGUUAUUGAAAGUGAGAUUGCUGUAACCCCAGUAGAUGCCAAAAGAAGGAAGUAUGCUAUAGGACGUAACACCCAUAAAUGUGAUGCAGACCACAAUGGAUCAUCUGUGACUUUGCAGAUUGCUACCAGAGCAGUACCACCGAUAUCUUCAUCAUUAGAAGCAACAGUCAAAGAAAGCUCCAGCAAAAAUAACUACUUGUCCAACUGUGAAGCAAAUGCUAGUGCUAGUAUUCAAAAGGAUUUAUACCCAGAUAAUACAGCAGACCCUGUUUCUUUAAGCAGUAAUCCUAUUUCUUUAAGCAGUAAUGAAAAAGAUAUUUCAGAAUAUUUCCUAUCAAAAACUUACCUGUCAGCUCAGUUUCUCCCUUCACAAGAUUUAGAAACAACAAUUAUUCUUAAAAAGACUUCCAGGAUUUUCUCACAUCGGGAUGAAAUUUCCCUUAGGCCCCAGACUUUAGGGAGUGACCAUUCUUAUGUCAGUGCUAAAUACCUUAAUGCAUGUGGAGGACAAUCACAUUCAGAAAUGAAAGAAAUGGUGACAACAUUAUGUCCCAAAAAGUACAGUGGUGUUUCUGGUCCUUGCAAAUUAGAAAAGAAGCAGUAUUACAAGUGGCCUGGGAACCAAGAUGACAGUUUUACAAUUUGCAAAAAACUUACAUAUCCUUUAGAAACUCUUCAUGGUAGCCCAAAUAGAAGUACUAAUACACUGAAAGAAACACCUAAUGGACAUACCAAUACUACCUUAACACAGAGCUAUCCUGCUGAUCUUGAAGGUAGCUACAAUGCUUCUGCCGAUCUCUUCAAUAAUAUUGCCAAAAAUAUGGAUACUGCAACAGAAAUUACAAAGAGAUCACAGGAUGUUAUGUUACAGGGGGAAACAUCUUUGACUGAAAAUUGCCCUGCAGAGUCUGAUAUUUUACCAAGAUCACACUCUGCAAACUCUAGCCAGUCAUCACAAAAAGUCUUACAAAGCCUGUCAGCCUCUAGGUAUCCAAGAACAUGCUCACCUCCACCGCAAUUUCACUCAGAUUCAGAAUAUGAUUUUGAAGAUAGCCAAGACUUCGUUCCCUGUUCACAGUCAACACCAGUUACAGGAUUCCACCGAACAAGAAUCCAUGGGAUAAAUGGAACUUUCAGAAACUUAACUGCCUUUUACUGCGAUUGUGAUGCUAACGAUAAAAAAAUACAAGUUCCUUCUGAAAAUGACAAACAGCAAAUUAUUCCAAGCUGUCCAAAAAAUUUUAAAACACCUACCCAGAAGUCCAGAAGUCACAUUACGUCGAGAAUUACACCACCAGAGGUUUUCAAUCACUCUCCAAUUGCUGAGUGCCUUAAGACUGAUAGUGAUGAAUGGGUACCUCCUACCACACAAAAAGUAUUCAUUUCAGAUAUGCUUGGAUUUCAAGUCAUGGCUCUAAGGAAAUGCCUUGAUGCCAAUAAUUGCUCCAAUCAAAAAGAGUUACCAAGAAAGAAACAAAAACAAGUCAAACAAAGAACCAGUGUGUGUUUAAUUAAGAAGGAAUUUAAAAAUAGGAGUAAAGCAAAACAGAAAAGUCCUAAAUGUAACUCUGAAAGGUCAGUCUGCAUUUCCAAAGAGUCAGUUCUUGGACUUGAUUCUUUUUCAGAAGUUAGGUCUUGCCUUCCAUUUUCAGAAAACCGCCCACCUUUCAUGGCUGAGAGCACCUGGUCACCUGAAUUGUUUUCAUAAAAAGUCAUUGAACACAGUGUUUGGAAACUUUUUGGCCUCCAGUGGCAUAGGAGCUCUCUUCACAAGAUGAAGCAUUUUCUGCUAACUAGAGGCAAAAGGCACCCACUCCACCAAGAGUCAAGUGUUUGUGCAUUCCUUGCCUGCUUUGAGAAGGAAACGAUAAGGCAUGACAUUAUAAAACCCAGGACUUACCAGCAGCCUUUCCUUUUGUAUUAACUUUGUAUUAACUGCAAAGGACUCCUGCACUCAGAUCUAGGAGCUAUAUAUGUUUGCUAUUUAUUAUGACUCCAGUUAUGUACAAGACCAAUCAAAAGCAUUGUGAAAAUAGAUACUACCAAGAAGACUAAAAUAGAGCUACAGAAACCAGUAGUGGCUUAAGAAAAAUUUUCCCACUUAGAAGACCUAAGCAUAAGCUGUGUGUAUUUGGCAAAAUAGCUGUAUUUCAUUAAGCCCUAAGAAGAUUAGCUUUCCUAGGAGUUUCAGCCUGGCUGGUAACAGAUGAGAGGAGAUUGACUAAAAACAGUUGCACAAACAUUACUUUGAAGAAACUAAAAGAACAAGAUUACCUGGAGUCAGUGCCAUUGACAAUAUGCUGUAAGUCUUCUCUCUUAAUCUUGAGGUAGAUCUUUCUUAACACAGGGCACAUGGACAUGGUCACUAAUAUUAAAUCUAUAAGGAAACCUAAUUAGUAAAUCAGUCUGAUUACCUAACUAAAUAGUAAAUAUUCAAUGGCCUAGUAAUGAUUCUUUUAUAUGUGUAGUAUUGGUUAUUAUUCAUUAUAUGCCAGACACUAUGACAUUUUGCCUGUAAUAUUUCAUAUAAUUCUCAGAAUAAAACUGUAGAAGGUAGUAUUAGCUCCAUUUUAGAGAAGAAAAAUGAUGCAUAGAGGCAUAAUAACUUGUUUAUGGUCACAGUUGGUAUAUGAUAAAGCUAGAAUUCAAACAGACUUGUUUGUAAAACCAUGCUCUUC